GCCUUGGUAGUCUAGCGGCUAGGACACUAGCCUGUCACGCUGGUAACCCGAGUUCGAAUCUCGGCCAAGGCGC
rnacentral:tRNA from 1 species